UGGCGCUGCAGCUGCUUAACCACAUGAUCGGUUUCUUUUUCUUUCCUUGGUCGUCUCUUGUUGUGCGGAGCGGCGAUUCGCCAUGGAUGGCCUCGAGUUCUUCUUUGAGGAAGAAGAAUCUGGAUUGGUUCCUAGGCUAGAUGCGGGAGAUAUUUUGGAUGGUGGGAUUGAUGUUGUGGAGUUGUGGUUGCUUCUAUCCAUGAAGCUCGCGGGCCCUCGGCUGAUCUGACAUGUUCUGAGCCCAUGGACAGCAGCGGCGGCGAAGGGCAUGCCGGAGAUGUGGAAGAGGAUGUUGGCUUAUUCUGCAACGGCGGAAGUGAGGUCGUUCGUGACUCAAACGACAUGCCCACUGAUUGCGAGAAAGUUGCAUCUGUGGGAGAAGAUGGAGAUGCAGAUGGUGUCAUCGUCAACAAUUCAAAGGGCUCCUGCUGGAGUCGACGGUAACAGACACAUGUUUGAUUUUGCUCUUAUCUUUCAUCUGUACCACUGAUUCUAGCUUUCUACACUAGCCUGUAGCAAAAGAACACACACCCGUGGGGGUGUUUUUCCACCGUGAACAACCCAAAAAAUGUUUCGUUCUUAUAGUUCUGAUGCUAGCUUGAGAAUCACAAACUUUAAUCCUAGGUGUCACCCUUGUAGAACGUAAAUACAUGAUUCUGCAUCAAUGUUCAGUACUGAAUUUUUAGGGAUUACUCUUCCUAUCUAGGUUUGGACUGCUAGAAAAUAUAGUUAACAACAUUUUGUUGGUGUCAACAAUCACUUCCAAAGCAUUAUUUUUGGUGGUGUGCUGAUGAGCGAUGAGAAAAUCGGCACUUUCAAAUGGAUAUUUACAGAGUUCUUCCAUAUGAUAGGUGCUCCUCAGCCGCGCACAAUCCUCACAAGUAUGAAAGAUUGUUCUCGAUUAAAUGUGACAUUUUGACACUGGCCCUUUUUUCACAGGUGAUGAUCCAGAUUGGUCUGCAAGAGGUUCCGGCAAAACAUGUGCUAAAGCAUUGGAAAAGGGAUGCAAGGGAUAUACUGCCUUCAGAAUUUAUCCGUUACCAGAAAGACAAAGGUCCUCUCAAGUACUCCUAGCGGCGACAUAACAAUCUGCAUCUACUUUGCCUUGAAAUUGUUAGACUUGGUGACAUCAAUGUCGAUGCAUAUACUCUUGUCAUGGAGCAGCUAAGAAAUGCAAAGGCAUUGCUUGAACCGGUAGCCGUUGUACGUGAUGGCAUGGGAUUAUCCGACAGAGAAAUGGCAGGUGAUUCUACAGUCUCGUCUAUAGCGCACAAACAACAUUUUGGUCCAGCGAAUCAGGUGCAGAGAGUCUCGCAAUGUUCAGACAGCUUUGGGGCACCAUCCAAGAAGAGACCAGCGGGGCGGCCUACAACAAGCCGCGACAAAGCGCUAUAUGAACAACCGGCUAAAAGGAGCCGUUUUUGUUCAAUCCGCCGUGGUCAAGGGCACAAGAGCACAACAUGUCCGCAGCGCAGUGAUCUUCCGAAGGCGCCAAGGAAGUCGCCUCGCUGCUUCAGGUGGAGUCUGACAGGACACAGGAGGAACACUUGCACCAACACGCCUAGGGCGGAUUUCUACUAGUGAUGCUGUUAUGUUUUUAUGGUUGAAGUGUAGCAGUUCAUUGAACUGUGCUUAUGUCGGAUGUUAGGCUGCUAGCAACUCUGCACUAUGAUAGUGAGAAUCUGUAUCUGUACUUUGCUGUUGUGUUCGAUAAUUACUCAGAGACUCCGUGAUUUCAGUUUCA